rnacentral:rRNA from 1 species
UACGUAGGGCGCAAGCGUUGUCCGGAAUUAUUGGGCGUAAAGAGCUCGUAGGUGGUUUGUUACGUCUGCUGUGAAAACCUAGGGCUUAACCCUGGGCUUGCAGUGGAUACGGGCAGACUAGAGGUAGGUAGGGGAGAAUGGAAUUCCUGGUGUAGCGGUGAAAUGCGCAGAUAUCAGGAGGAACACCGGUGGCGAAGGCGGGUCUCUGGGCCGAUACUGACGCUGAGGAGCGAAAGCGUGGGGAGCAAACAGG